GAUGAACGCUGACAGAAUGCUUAACACAUGCAAGUCUUUGGCGAAGCUGUGCUUGCACAGCCUAGCCAAGGCGGACGGGUGAGUAACGCGUAAGGAACUUGCCCUGCAGUCAGGGAUAACAGACGGAAACGACUGAUAAGACCUGGUAAAGUCAGGCGGACUCAUGUCCAGCCUGAUGAAAAGAGAUGCUGCAGGAGAGCCUUGCGUCCUAUUAGCUUGUUGGUGGGGUAACGGCCCACCAAGGCGAUGAUAGGUAGCCGGCCUGAGAGGGUGGACGGCCACAAGGGGACUGAGAUACGGCCCUUACUCCUACGGGAGGCAGCAGUGGGGAAUAUUGGACAAUGGGGGCAACCCUGAUCCAGCAAUUCUGUGUGCACGAUGAAGGUUUUCGGAUUGUAAAGUGCUUUCAGCAGGGAAGAAAAAAAAUGACGGUACCUGCAGAAGAAGCGACGGCUAAAUACGUG
rnacentral:rRNA from 1 species